ACUGGAGUGGAUUGCCAUUUCCUUCUUCAGGGGAAUCUUUCUGACCCAGGGAUUGAACCUGUGUCUCCUGUGUUGCAGGCAGAUUCUUUACCAUUGAGCCACCUGGGAAGCCGCUGUCUUCACUCAGUCAAACGCUCUCCUGAGAGAGAAAGUAAUUCUGCACAGCCGCCAUCCCCCUUCCUCCCUGCAGCACUGUUGCUCGUACAAUGCAGGGUAAAGACCAGGGCCUUCAGGAUCAUUAAACCCUUCACCAAGAGAGCGCAAUGGAAGUGCUGAUUAUGAAAGCUUCUGGAAAUGGCCCAGGAGUGUAGGAGAAUGCGGAGCACAGACAAGGUUGAGAAGGGAGAAAAAAGGACCUGCUGGCCUUGGUACUGGAUCCAAACUAAUGAGAAC
rnacentral:lncRNA from 1 species